rnacentral:rRNA from 1 species
AUUGAACGCUGGCGGCAGGCCUAACACAUGCAAGUCGAGCGGAUGAAGGGAGCUUGCUCCUGGAUUCAGCGGCGGACGGGUGAGUAAUGCCUAGGAAUCUGCCUGGUAGUGGGGGAUAACGUCCGGAAACGGGCGCUAAUACCGCAUCCGUCCUGAGGGAGAAAGUGGGGGAUCUUCGGACCUCCCGCUAUCAGAUGAGCCUAGGUCGGAUUAGCUAGUUGGUGGGGUAAAGGCCUACCAAGGCGACGAUCCGUAACUGGUCUGAGAGGAUGAUCAGUCACACUGGAACUGAGACACGGUCCAGACUCCUACGGGAGGCAGCAGUGGGGAAUAUUGGACAAUGGGCGAAAGCCUGAUCCAGCCAUGCCGCGUGUGUGAAGAAGGUCUUCGGAUUGUAAAGCACUUUAAGUUGGGAGGAAGGGCAGUAAGUUAAUACCUUGCUGUUUUGACGUUACCAACAGAAUAAGCACCGGCUAACUUCGUG